CCCAUGAAUUACUAUCCUAAACCAAAUCGCACGGUGUCUUCACGGGCGAUUGGAUCUGAGCUCUCAUCCCUGGUCCCCCCGUGCUGACGGCGUCUUCACCGGAGUCAACGGCGCCCUCCUCCCUCUCCUUCGCGCCCACCGAUGCGGGCCGCGUCUUCGUAUCCUCGGCCAUGCUGGCAGCGAUGCGGUCUGGCGUCGGCGCCGACGGAGUACCCGUCUUCUCCCCUGCAUCGCGAGCGCGGAGCCGUCCUGCCUACAUCGGGGUUGCUCGCCACAUGGCCAACCCGAGGUGGAGACACUGCGACCAGAUUCAUGUAUAGCCAUCUCUCUGGAAUUCUAGAGUGGCCCGCGGACGAGCAGGAGCAGCUGUCUCACAUCUCGAGUUUCUACUGCAGACCGUCCGCAGAGGACGUCUGUAUAGAUCCAAUCGCCAUCGUAUAUCCUUUUUGCAAGUCAUGGGUACCUGCAUGCGUCCCUCCCAAUUACAAUCAGAAUUUCUAUAACAUAGAGGUGAUGGCUCCAGAAAUCAGGCGAUUCAGACAGAGAUGUCGGAGACGGUUGGAGGCUUCCAACAUCUUGCCAAAACAAACUGCUGAGUGCCUACUGCCUAACAAAAUUUUGUAGAUGUCUACAGGUUGUCGGACAAGUCUUUCAGACAUUCAUCUAAUCCACAGGUUCACAAAAACUUCGCGUCCCUUACAAUUGGUUUGCUCUGCUGUUUUCAUCUUUCAUGUAAAUGAAUGCAUACCCAAACAAAUAAUAUGGCCAAUGAACUAGACUCAUUGCUGAGUGUAUCACGUGACUUCGAAAGGAAGAAUUUGGCUGAACUGCGAUUAAUCUUUAGUGAAAAGAGAGAGUAAGAGAAGGAUUGGGAACCUCCUGUUGUCCUUUAAUUCAUGUUGUCAAUAUUCUAUAGGAUCCUUGCACUGCAUCCAGUCCGGGCGAUCAAUUUAUUGAGUCUAUGGUUGCUAUAGCCAAUGGCUACUACAUGAUCGAUACUGCACUGCAGGGUGAACGUGCCACAAUACCUCAUGCCCUCUCAGGUAUCCCAAGCUUUGUGCUCUACUACCCUGGUAAAUACUAAUACGAGUCGUAUUAACUGCAUGAAGCCCCCAUAGCGGCCAGAUAAUCUCUGCCUCUAUCGACAUGAUCCAUAACAUCUCAUAAGAAAACUAGCCUUUUGCGUGUCUAUCGUUCGACACUUAUAUUUAGCAGAUUAUUAUAUGGAUUAGGGAGCAGAUAAGAACCAGCUAGGUGGUUUGCAUCGCCUAAAGUGCCAACCUGCAGCAAGCAUGCAUUAACUACAUUUACAUCAACCACCCACGAGUAUAUCGGUUGCUCUUAUAGAAGCUUUACACAGACGAUGUUUAAAAUGAUUUCGAAUGAUGCAUAAUCAUUAUCUAGAAUUUAAAAUGAUUUUAACUUCCUCCAAUUUCAGUAUGGUCGCGUUGUUUCACAUUUUAACUGCUCCUGCUAUUGCAAGCUAGACUUGAAUUUUGGCUUCUAUAGGUAUGCAGAAUCGAUUCACCUCUCCAUAGGUUUCUACCUCUGUUAAUUCCUCUUCCUAUUGCCACAUAACUACAACAUUUCUUUGGGGGAAAAUCAAUGUAUAGAUACAUUGUUUUUGUACUGAUUCUUCCAUUGAUUUUAUAUACUAUUCCUACUAUUGUCUCUCUGUGCAAUGCACAUGCUCUUCUAUUUUCUUUUGGACCGAUUCUUUCAUUUUGGUUUUCUUGCUAUGCUUGGUUAAUUAACUAGAAUAGACUAAUUAGGAAUUACCCAGUCUUCUGCUGUAUGUUCACUUGCAUAGAUGGCUUAAUACAUAAGCUAAACCGAUGACUACAUAUAGCACAUACAUUGGGUCAUUUCUCCUAAGAAGGUUAAACCGCCUGAACUUUUAGUUUUAGUUACAAAGAAGUUGCUGAAUGAUCUAACAUUUUUGGGGUUUUACUAAAUCUAAUUCUAAAACAUGUACCGAUGUCAUAAUAAUAUUUUCAUUUCAUAGCUUUCAGUUUCAUACCAUAUAUUCGUAGUGUACUCGCUCCGUAUCAAAAUAUAAGACAUUGGAUUAUUGGUUUCUGCAGGUUUUUGUUUCAUAUCAUAUUUUUGUGUGUCACAGCUUAAAAAAACAAAUAUGUGCUAGCUAGGGACAUGAACUUAACUGAAACUAUAGAUUGAGUCACAACUUAAAUCAAGAAGCUGUUAGUACAUGUACUUGUGCUUAUGCUUUAGACAUUUACUUGUGAAACUGUUCUGAUCCCCUAGUUACAUGCUUGCUGACACAGUAUCUCUCCGGUUAGUCUAGCGAUAGUUGUUUUUAACAUUGAGGAUGGAAUAAUUGUAUGGCGUAUGUUAUGUUGGACUCAUGAACUAGAUUUUUUUUUGAUUUCUUGAUUGCAGGAUCCAAAGAACUAGCUUGUCUGGACUCUAGAUCACGGACAGUUUAGUCUUGGCACUUAAUUAGGAUGGCUAAAUUACAAUUGAGUUUCAUUUGGUGGAUAUUUGCUAUGAGAAUUAUGAAUUUUAUGAAUCUACAUAUUAUACAUAUGGUUUUGAAUAUUGUAAUUGAAUGCCUGUAUUUUUUUUUACGAUUGCAAUAGGCUAUUACAACAACCCACUUUCGGUUGCCACAUGUUAGCACCACAAAAAGUUUAAGUUGUCGCAAUAGUUUUUCGCUACAAACAUUUCACCCGUUGUGAUACCUAUUUAUCACCACCAAAACUAGUGUGUUGCAUUUUCCUAUUACAACGACUGGAAUAUUUGUUGCCAUAAGUUAAUGCCACAAGUGUAGCGGUUCGUAGCAAAAUGCCUAAUUCUACGAAAACAAGGAUUGUUGCCAUAGUUUAUUGCCACAAUUGACUAUUGCCACGGAAGAGUAUGCGCCACGAAACGAACGUCGUUGGCAUAGGUUGUUGCCACAAACGUCUAUUGCCACAAGCUAUCAAUCACCAUGAUUCAUUACAUGUUGCAUUAAAGCUAUCUCCACAAAGCAAAUUGUGGCAUCAGGUGAGUGUUGCCACGAGAAAACAUGUGGCAACUUCCCAGAUGGUUGUUGCAAUGGCACACUUCAUUGCCACGAUUGCUUUUUUGUGGCAAUAACCUAUUACCAUGUGUCCAGUCGCAACGGCUGCCAACGAAUGUUGUUUCGUGGCAAUAGGUACUUAUCGCCACAAAUUGGCAUGUAUUGCAACGAAUGAUUUUGUUGCAAUAGACCCGGAUCCUUGUAGUGAGGGAUCUUCUUUGAAGAUACCAUAUAUUUUAGUGGAACUGCACAAGAAGAUGUUGGAAACAUUAAACUAAUCGAGGAGUAUAUAGUAAGCAUGGCCACCACCGUAGAUAGCAACAGAUGGUUCCGGAGAAGUGCUUCAUCUGUAUGCUCUACACAAUAAGCCUCCUGACAAAGGUUGGUACUCACCCAUUGAUUUCAUCCAUAUGAUUAAGCUUUUUCAUCUCUAUUGGUGUUGUGCUACUGUUUAGAUACUGUUAUGAAAAUGUGGUAUUGUCAUUGAGAAGUGCUUCAUCUGUGCUGUUUUAAAUAUUUCCUUUCCUUUUUUCGAGCAAACAGGGAUGCUAGCAUUUAGUAGUCCUCUUGUCUUUGCACAACAGGAUCAUCUUCCUAUGAAUAAGAAUAUGGAGUACGUGAAGUGACUAGUUCUGAUUA